rnacentral:lncRNA from 1 species
AAUGAAUCGCAGGAGCCAACACAAUCGGCAAGUAUUGAAGAAACAGACCUUCUUGUUACUCAAGGUGCAGAGUUAAUUCAGGGAGCACUGGUUGAUAGGCUUGACGAGAUAAACAGUGACCGAGGGCACAGAAAACCUCUCUCUGACAUAGGAAAUACACAGGUGUGUGUCAGUCAUCAUCCUUUAAAACGUCAAGACGUUUUCUUGAUUAAAAAUAAGGAAGUGUUAGGUUACUCUUUGAGAUUGAAAACUAUGAAUUGAAGAAAGAAACUGGUUAAAUAAAAGGUAGGAUGAUAUUUACAUUAUCAUUCAAUCACAAAUCAUCAUUGAUAUGAUUUUUAAGAUAAUUUUGUAAAAGUCAACAAAUUUAUCACAAAAGAUAGUAUCUGAUUGGAUGACAAUGUAAUUUUACACUGUGAGUGCUUAGUCUAUUUUCUCACCAAUUAAUAAUUGCUAAUUCUCUAUUUAAUGGUAUUAAUAGUUGCUAGUUAAGGCAAUAAUAUCCCAUCCAUCCUGCAUUCUUAUCUGUCGUGUCCUGUUAAGCAUUACAAUUUCUUAUCGCAGGCCAAAUCAAAUGCAAAGAACGGUAAUCCAAAAAAGAAAACAGCCACCGUAAUUAUUGUUCCAAAUCCGCCACCUUCUUCGCAGGCAGAGAAUACUGAAGUCCCCAUCCCCAUCCACAACCGCAAGUUCAAAUUCAGGAAAGAAAAUAAUAACAGUGAAACAAGUGUAGCUGUGAAUAAACCAAGACAUAAAAGGUCCAAAUCCAGACCUGAAAACGCUGCCUCAGCCCCAAGAGCAGAGGGUAAUUUUGUGGACCCAGAUGAACCCUUGAAAAUGCCAG